AAAUACAUAAAUAUAAAAGCUUUUCUAAAAGUGCUCAUGUCUACAGGACUCUUCUUAAAGGAAUUCUAAAAAGGGAAACUCAGGAAUGCCUACCUGACUGUCCCAGAGAACUGCCAUCCAAAGGAGCAGCCUACAGCAGCACAAGCAUUUCAUCUUCUGGAUUUGUGGAGACGUGGGAUUUGUUGAUGCUGAAGGCAGGAGGAAGUCAAUAGAGAAAAAAAGAAUUCUGGGAGUGUUUAAACUGUCUCCCAAUAGAUCUGUGUAUGGCAGAGAAAGGAUCCCUAUGACAUUUCAUACAACUAGAAGUGAAGAUUUUAAUUCAGCUUUCACAAGAUAUGAUUUCUGCAUUCAGAUACUUCCACAUACUAGCAUACAGAUUUUCCAGAGUGAUCUCCAAGUUGUAAUGGACAACCUUUUUCCUGCCAGCAGAGCCCAGAGAGGAAUAAACCAAGACCACCAGCUAAGUCAUUGCGUAAUGUGCUAUGGAUAUGAGCAUUGAAUGCCCUCAGGUAUUGUGUUUAAAUGAAAGGCUUUCGCCAAAAAAAGGAAAAGAGAUGCAUAUAAAAAGGAUGUUAAGUAUAUCAUUUUCUUCUUUUAGAAAACUGGAAUUUUUACAAGAAUGUUGCAAAAAAAUUUUAUGAGAAAUAUCCAACAAAAUGUCCACUUCACGAUGUCAUUUGCUUCAAGUUUCCAAAAAUCAUUAAAAACAAUUACACUAAUUGUAAGCUAUAAAAUUUACUAUAUGAUGAUUAUUAUGCAAGAACUAAUAUAUAUGUAAAAUAUCAUAAAGCUCAGUAGACUGCUGAAAUAUCCAUUCCUCUGGUUUUGACAAAUGCAAUUUUUCAGGGAUGAAUCUACACUGCAUAGUAUUGCAGAGAUCAUUUUCCUAGCCCAUCACUUUGACUGUCAAAUAUAAAACUCUUUUUCUAUCUGAUAUAAGCAGCUUGUCUUCACUUUCAAAGCCAUUCAUAGCUUCCCCUCAUCCUACCUAUCAUCUCUCAUUCAGGAUCAAGAAACCACUUCUUUCACUGAUUAGCCCAUGAUGCCAGCCUCCUCCAUCUAUUUCUUAGACUUUCAGUCAUUCCAUUUCAAACUUUAUCCAAUGCCAUGCCUUACAUGUGGGUAGAGCUCCUUUAGACAUCUGCGAAGCUACCUCAUUAUCUUCCUUCUAAUCCCAUCUGUGACGCUUCCCUUCCAUCAUGCCUUCAAAAGAAGUUUCAGAGUUUGGACUGUAUUUAUCUAGUCAUAAUGAGCAGCUCCCCCCCCGCCCCAAAAAAAAGAAAGAUUUCUGGAUCAAAUUUGAGUAGAUCAUUCCCAAAGAUAAGAAGGCUAGUAUUUCCUACUGAGAUGCAGCACUGUUGUUUCUGUAUGGUUACUAGUGCCUUGUUUUCAAAGACACUGCCUUGCUGUUUCAGGGGGGGUAAAUAUUUCUGCUAGAAAACAGAAUAGAAUGAAUUUAAGGGUGAUCUGUCUGGAUUAUAGGAGCAAUUGAGGUAGUC
rnacentral:lncRNA from 1 species